GAGUGAAGAGGGAAAAGCUCAUCAUUGGAAUCUGGCAGCGUUGCGCUGUCCGAGUUGUAGAUGAGAAGAGUGGGUCAUCUGGACUGCGUGGUGUCCAAGUACAAUAGGCCGUCAGUGGGACAUCAUAGAGGGUGACAAUCCCGUCCUUGAUACCAACGUACGAGUCCGUUAUGAUGCCUAUCUCGGAGAGUCGAGCAGUUUGGGAUUUGCUGCUUAAACAUGGGAGGUAGAUUCCUUCUAAAGCUAAAUACAGGCAAGAGACCGAUAGAGAACAAGUACCGCAAGGGAAAGAUGAAAUAGAACUCUGUGAAGGGAGUCAAAAGACGUGAAAUUGUUGCGAGAGAAGCGAUUCAAGUCAGCGUAGCUAGGCCCAUCAAGCCUCGUCGCUUUGGACUAGCUUUGCCAGCGGUCUUGUCUCUACUAAUCUUUAUAGAUACUUGACAACAAAGAACAACGUGCCCUGCUCGGUCUAACGGGCAGGACUCUCCCUUGGGGGGCCCAGUGGCAUGGCUGGUGGAAUGGCUUGCAAUCGACCCGUCUUGAAACACGGACCAAGGAGUCUAACAUGUGUGCGAGUAUAAGGGUGGCAAACCCGUAUGCGCAAAGAAAGUGAUAGCCUUAUUGGCUGAGAAUGGCCUGAUGACCAGACAAGCAAUAUCAUGUUCCUCGUACGGUCAUUGCCCAAGUCCCGUGGUCAGAUCCCAUGGACAUGGAGUUAGAGCAUACAUGCUAGGACCCGAAAGAUGGUGAACUAUGCCUGGACAAAGCGAAGCCAAAGGAAACUCUGGUGGAGGCUUGUAGCGAUUCUGACGUGCAAAUCGAUCGUCUGAUCUG
rnacentral:rRNA from 1 species